GAUGAACGCUGGCGGCGUGCUUAACACAUGCAAGUCGAACGAGAAGUGAAGACGGAAACCUUCGGGCGGAAGGCUUUAUUUCGAGUGGCGGACGGGUGAGUCACGCGUGGGUAUCCUGCCUCCUACAGGGGGAUAACAGUUGGAAACGACUGUUAAUACCGCAUAAGACCACAGCACCGCAUGGUGCGGGGGUAAAAACUCCGGUGGGAUGAGAUGGAUCCGUGUUCGAUUAGCCGGCUGGCGGGGUAAUGGCCAACCAAAGGGACGAUCGAUAGCCGAUCUGAGAGGCAGACCAGACACAGUGGGACUGAGACACGGCCCAAACUCCUACGGGAGGCGGGAGUGGGGUAUAUUGCACAAUGGGGGAAAGCCUGAUGCAGCGACGCCGCGUGAGUGAAGAAGUAUGUCGGUAUGUAAAGCUCUAUCAGCAGGGAAGGAAAUGACGGUACCUGAGGAAGAAGCCCCGGCUAACUUCGUG
rnacentral:rRNA from 1 species